rnacentral:lncRNA from 1 species
CAGAUUCUCUCUCUAUGCCACAUAGCAUUGCCAGGGGGUGGGGGAGGGGUGGUGUCAGCAAUUCAAGACUGUGUUUCCUACCUUCUUCAGUGCCUCUUUCCUGAUACCAGGUUAAAACCAGAUGGAGUCUCACUCUGUCGCCCAGGCUUGAGUACAGUGGCAUGAUCUCGGCUCACUGCAACCUCCACCUCCGGGUUCAAGCAAUUCUUCUGUCUCAGCCUCCCGAGUAGCUGGGACCACAG